rnacentral:rRNA from 1 species
AGCAGCCGCGGUAAUUCCAGCUCCAAUAGCGUAUAUUAAAGUUGUUGCAGUUAAAAAGCUCGUAGUUGAAUUUCGGGACUAAUAUGUCGGUCGUACUUUGUACGUACUGGCAUUAUUGGUUUCUCCCUUCUGACGAACCACGAUGUCAUUAAUUUGGUGUCAUAGGGAAUCAGGACUGUUACUUUGAAAAAUUGAGUGUUUAAAGCAGGCUCACGCUUGAAUACAUUAGCAUGGAAUAAUGAAAUAGGACGUUUGAUUCUAUUUUGUUGGUUUCUAGGAUCGACGUAAUGAUUAAUAGGGAUAGUUGGGGGCAUUAGUAUUCAAUUGUCAGAGGUGAAAAUUCUUGGAUUUAUUGAAGACUAACUACUGCGAAAGCAAUUUGCCAAGGAUGUUUUCAUUAAAUCAA